rnacentral:rRNA from 1 species
AACGAACGCUGGCGGCAGGCUUAACACAUGCAAGUCGAACGCAUCCUUCGGGGUGAGUGGCAGACGGGUGAGUAACGCGUGGGAACGUGCCCUUCAGUUCGGGAUAACCCAGGGAAACUUGGGCUAAUACCGGAUACGUGCGAGAGCAGAAAGAUUUAUCGCUGAAGGAUCGGCCCGCGUCUGAUUAGCUAGUUGGUGGGGUAAUGGCCCACCAAGGCGACGAUCAGUAGCUGGUCUGAGAGGAUGAUCAGCCACAUUGGGACUGGGACACGGCCCAAACACCUACGGGAGGCGGCAGUGGGGAAUAUUGGACAAUGGGCGCAAGCCUGAGCCAGCCAGGCCGCGUGAGUGAUGAAGGCCUUAGGGUUGUAAAGCUCUUUCGUCCGGGACGAUAAUGACGGUACCGGAAGAAGAAGCCCCGGCUAACUUCGUGCCAGCAGCCGCCGUAA